rnacentral:misc_RNA from 1 species
UCACAAGUAUCAACAAAGUGAAUCAGUGGGGAACUAGUGCUGGAUUCAAAGUUAGCAAACAUGGGCAAGUGCUACCCCAUGGUGAGCGCGGAAUAUCAGAAAGCAGUCCAAAAAUGCAAGAGAAAGCUUAGAGGACUCAUCGCUGAGAAGCACUGCGCUCCCAUCGUCCUUCGCUUAGCAUGGCACUCUGCAGGUACUUUUGAUGUGAAAACAAGAACAGGCGGACCUUUUGGGACGAUCAGGCACCCUCAGGAGCUUGCACGCGAGGCCAACAAUGGCCUUGAGAUUGCUGUCAGGCUUCUGGAGCCUAUCAAGGAACAAUUUCCUAUCUUGACGUAUGCUGACUUCUACCAGUUGGCAGGAGUUGUUGCUGUAGAAAUUACAGGAGGGCCUGAGAUUCCUUUCCACCCGGGGAGACCAGUUAGUGAUCGAUACUUGUAAACAAUCUUCGAUAUUUAGAUGGAAUUAGAUGUAUAAGUAGUACUAAAUUAAUUAAUUCUUGUGUUUAUUCAGGACAAAUCUAAUCCACCCCCAGAAGGUCGCUUACCUGAUGCUACUAAAGGUUCGGAUCAUUUGAGGGAUAUCUUUGGUCGAAUGGGCCUCAGUGACAAAGAUAUCGUUGCCUUAUCUGGUGGUCACACCCUGGUAUUUUGAUUGUUCAGCAAGAAUAAAUUAAAGUAUAUAUUAUAGCAUACUAUUCUACCAUAUAUUUAAUGAUUUGCGUUCUUGGAUCUUGCACAUUUUUAUUUACAGGGUAGGUGUCACAAGGAACGUUCUGGAUUUGAGGGACCCUGGACCACCAAUCCUCUCAUUUUUGACAACUCUUAUUUCAGGUAAGACUUCUUUUAUGUUUGGGACUAUGUUCUUUAUUGUUUGAAUAAUUGAGCUUUCUAUAUGCUACUGUGUGAGCGUAGCUACCAGUUUGAAUCUGGAACCCAAUCCAAAUUCGAUUAGUUUAGUCUAAAAUCGAAAUCAACCCGAAAUUAAAUCAGAAUCAGGUAGUUCAGUCCACUUACAGAUUAAAACUUAGAUUUGAUUAAAAUUAGAUUGAAUGGGAACAGAAUCGGAUACACCCUGCAGUCAGGUCCUGAUCCCCUUGAACCAUUGAACCAGAACCACCCGAUCCGUGGCCAUGCCUAAUACUGUGAAAGUGCAAAGUAGAAUUGCUGGUUUUAUGAAAAGAAAAACAGGGUGAUGAGAAUUUGAUUCCUUUAAACAGGGAACUUUUAAGUGGAGAGAAAGGAGGUCUUAUCCAGCUGCCAUCAGAUAAGGCUCUUUUACAAGAUCCAGUCUUUCGUCCUCUAGUUGAAAAAUAUGCUGCAGAUGAGGAUGCCUUCUUUGAAGAUUAUGCAGAAGCUCAUUUGAAGCUCUCAGAGCUCGGGUUAGUGAAAAUUUUGCUUCCGGAUCUAGUUAUACUGUAUUUUAUAAUCGUGCGCCUUAUUGUUAUAUUUCAAAACUUAUUUCCAAAUUCAAGCGUUGUCUCCAUUUUCAGCUAUUGUGAUGCUGAGUAAAGAACAGAGAUGAGACCAGUAGAGCAUCUGCUUGGUGUUCAAUUGCUGAUGGAUUGGCUAGUUACUUCAUUUCCCUUCAGGCUUGAUUAGACACAUUUGCAAGUGAUUUAUAUUAGCAGAUUUUCCUUAAAUAACUCGAUCCUACAUGUUUGUGUCUUUGGACUGGAUAUAGAUAAAAAUUUUCCUGUAUCAUCUUGAACAAAUGAAAUUGUCUGUGCUUCAUUAUCUUCUCUUUUUUUUUUCUUAUAUUUUACAGUGAUUUAACAAUGGAAUUAUUAUUAUCUUGUUUAUGGUAAAA